rnacentral:lncRNA from 1 species
CUGCACCCUAUUGCUCCUGGAGAGCUUGCAGAAAAUGGCAAUGGUGAGAUAGUAAGAGAAGGAUGAUUCUUUUUCCUUAGACGGUGGAACUGAUGCUAAUCCCACCUUGUAUCGGUCUCUUACUGCCAGACGUUCUAGAAAAGCACCAAGUGUGAAAUCUAACCGAUCAAUGUCAGUUGGUUUUAUUAUACCACUGCAGCUGAAUACUACCCAACGAGUUAAAGAUGAAGAGGCUGGUAAAAUGACUAUCACAAAGGAGAAGUAAUGCCAUCAUUUGGCUAUCCCUCUGCC